rnacentral:rRNA from 1 species
CCUACGGGAGGCAGCAGUGGGGAAUAUUGGACAAUGGGGGGAACCCUGAUCCAGCGACGCCGCGUGAGUGAAGAAGUAUUUCGGUAUGUAAAGCUCUAUCAGCAGGGAAGAAAGAAAUGACGGUACCUGACUAAGAAGCCCCGGCUAACUACGUGCCAGCAGCCGCGGUAAUACGUAGGGGGCAAGCGUUAUCAGGAUUUACUGGGUGUAAAGGGAGCGUAGACGGCGAUGCAAGUCUGAAGUGAAAGGCGGGGGCCCAACCUCCGGACUGCUUUGGAAACUGUAUGGCUGGAGUGCAGGAGAGGUAAGUGGAAUUCCUAGUGUAGCGGUGAAAUGCGUAGAUAUUAGGAGGAACACCAGUGGCGAAGGCGGCUUACUGGACUGUGACUGACGUUGAGGCUCGAAAGCGUGGGGAGCAAACAGGAUUAGAUACCCCAGUAGUC